ensembl:snoRNA small nucleolar RNA SNORA2/SNORA34 family
GCAGCCCUGAAUCAAGGCCAGCAGUUUGGUGUAGCUGCUGGUUUUAAACAGGAGCCUAAAGAGAAGUCUUCCUAGGGUCUUUUGGCCAUUUCACAACUUUGGAAAUGUAAUGGUCAAUUCAUUAGAAAGAAAUAGCU